rnacentral:rRNA from 1 species
CCUACGGGAGGCUGCAGUAGGGAAUAUUGCUCAAUGGGGGAAACCCUGAAGCAGCAACGCCGCGUGGAGGAUGAAGGUUUUCGGAUUGUAAACUCCUUUUGAUAGAGAAGAGAAUGACGGUAUCUAACGAAUAAGCACCGGCUAACUCCGUGCCAGCAGCCGCGGUAAUACGGAGGGGGCAAGCGUUAUUCGGAAUCACUGGGCGUAAAGGGCGCGUAGGCGGGAUUGCAAGUCAGUUGUGAAAUCCUAUGGCUUAACCAUAGAACUGCAUUUGAAACUGUUAUUCUAGAGUAUGGGAGAGGUAGGUGGAAUUCUUGGUGUAGCGGUGAAAUCCGUAGAUAUCACGAGGAAUACUCAUUGCGAAGGCGACCUGCUAGAACAUAACUGACGCUGAUGCGCGAAAGCGUGGGGAGCAAACAGGAUUAGAUACCCUGGUAGUC